UACGAAGGGGGCUAGCGUUGUUCGGAAUCACUGGGCGUAAAGGGCGCGUAGGCGGCUUUAUAAGUCGGGGGUGAAAGCCUGUGGCUCAACCACAGAAUUGCCUUCGAUACUGUAUGGCUUGAGACCGGAAGAGGUAAGUGGAACUGCGAGUGUAGAGGUGAAAUUCGUAGAUAUUCGCAAGAACACCAGUGGCGAAGGCGGCUUACUGGUCCGGUUCUGACGCUGAGGCGCGAAAGCGUGGGGAGCGAACAGG
rnacentral:rRNA from 1 species